AUUUACAUGUUGCAAAUUAAUCUUUAGAUAACCCCACCAUUGGAGGGCAGGGAGAAGACCAGCAGGAUAUUGUCUGACGCUCCUCUCUUCAUCACUGACUCACUUUGAGGAUGCUGGCUGCGGUAUAUAAACUUUGUGAUAUGCGAUGUGGAUCAAGAGGAAGGCAGCCUUAAACCAUAGUCAAACAGCAGACUCGCUGUCAACUCCAGCAUGUUACUAAGCUCUGAGAGCUCAGGAGAAACUAGUGUGAAGUGCUAUGCAAAUGCUGUUUGCCACACUCCAGGAGGACUUCAGGCUGCGACAAGGGACAGUACCUUAGCAGCCCAAGGGGGAACAGGGAGCCCGUCCUGAGAGAGAAAGCAGGCUUAUGGAGCCCCUCUGGAGAGAGACAGCAGGACACUCUAAUCGAUAGAGAAUUUGACCAAGCUGGAAGACCUGCCAAAUGCUGAGGCACGUGUGACCUGUUACAGAGUGACUGAGCAGCACCCCUAUUUCACGGAUGCAG